rnacentral:tRNA from 1 species
AAAGGUGAAGUAUAAACUAUUUUACAUUUCAGUUACAUUGAAAAAAACCGGGUUAAAGGUACCUUUA